rnacentral:rRNA from 1 species
GGGUGAGUAACACGUGGAUAACCUACCUAUAAGACUGGGAUAACUUCGGGAAACCGGAGCUAAUACCGGAUAAUAUUUUGAACCGCAUGGUUCAAAAGUGAAAGACGGUCUUGCUGUCACUUAUAGAUGGAUCCGCACUGCAUUAGCUAGUUGGUAAGGCAACGGCUUACCAAGGCAACGAUGCAUAGCCGACCUGAGAGGGUGAUCGGCCACACUGGAACUGAGACACGGUCCAG